rnacentral:rRNA from 1 species
UACGUAGGGUCCAAGCGUUAAUCGGAAUUACUGGGCGUAAAGCGUGCGCAGGCGGUUCUGAAAGUCAGCUGUGAAAUCCCCCCGGCUUAACCUGGGAACUGCGUCUGAUACUGGGAGGCUAGAGUGCGGGAGAGGGAUGCGGAAUUCCAGGUGUAGCGGUGAAAUGCGUAGAUAUCUGGAGGAACACCGGUGGCGAAGGCGGCAUCCUGGACCGACACUGACGCUGAGGCGCGAAAGCUAGGGUAGCAAACGGG